CCUACGGGAGGCAGCAGUAGGGAAUCUUUCACAAUGGGCGAAAGCCUGAUGAAGCAACACCGCGUGAAUGAAGAAGGGUUUCGGCUCGUAAAAUUCUGUUGCUAGAGAAGAACGUACCAAGUAGGAAAUGGCUUGGUAGUGACGGUAUCUGGUUAGAAAGUCACGGCUAACUACGUGCCAGCAGCCGCGGUAAUA
rnacentral:rRNA from 1 species